rnacentral:rRNA from 1 species
UACGUAGGGUGCGAGCGUUUGUCCGGAAUUAUUGGGCGUAAAGGGCUCGUAGGCGGUUUGUCGCGUCGGGAGUGAAAACCAGGUGCUUAACACCUGGCUUGCUUUCGAUACGGGCAGACUAGAGGUAUGCAGGGGGAGAACGGAAUUCCUGGUGUAGCGGUGAAAUGCGCAGAUAUCAGGAGGAACACCGGUGGCGAAGGCGGUUCUCUGGGCAUGACCUGACGCUGAGGAGCGAAAGUGUGGGGAGCGAACAGG